UACGUAGGGUGCGAGCGUUAAUCGGAAUUACUGGGCGUAAAGUGUGCGCAGGCGGCCGCGCAAGUCGAGUGUGAAAUCCCCGGGCUCAACCUGGGAACUGCAUCCGAAACUGCCUUGCUCGAGUAUGGGAGAGGGAAGUGGAAUUUCCGGUGUAGCGGUGAAAUGCGUAGAUAUCGGAAGGAACAUCAGUGGCGAAGGCGACUUCCUGGACCAAUACUGACGCUCAGGUGCGAAAGCGUGGGGAGCAAACAGG
rnacentral:rRNA from 1 species